rnacentral:rRNA from 1 species
GACGAACGCUGGCGGCGUGCUUAACACAUGCAAGUCGAACGGAAAGGCCCUGCUUUUGUGGCUUGCUCGAUUGGCGAACGGGUGAGUAACACGUGAGUAACCUGCCCUUGACUUUGGGAUAACUUCAGGAAACUGGGGCUAAUACCGCAGAUGAUCUCCUGCUGCAUGUUGUUGGUUGGAAAGUGUCGGCGGUUCUGGAUGGACUGGCGGGUUAUCAGCUUCAUGGUGGGGUAGUGGCGUACCAAGGGUUUGACGGGUAGCCGGCCUGAGAGGGUGACCGGCCACAUUGGGACUGCGAGACGGCCCAGACUGGUACGGGAGGCAGUAGGGGGGAACAUUGCACAAUGGGCGGAAGCCUGAUGCAGCAACGCCGCGUGCGGGAUGACGGGUUUCGGGUUGAAAACAGAUUUCGCAUGUGAUGAAGAGUGAGUGACGGUAAUGGGUAAAGAAGCACCGGCUAACUACGUG